UUGACUAAAGCCAAAUAGAGGCAAAUCAUUGUUACUGAUUACACUGGGUAUCCUGGUCGUU
rnacentral:tRNA from 1 species